UACGGAGGAUCCGAGCGUUAUCCGGAUUUAUUGGGUUUAAAGGGUGCGUAGGCGGUUUGAUAAGUUAGAGGUGAAAUGUCGGGGCUCAACCCCGAAACUGCCUCUAAUACUGUUGGACUAGAGAAUAGUUGCGGUAGGCGGAAUGUAUGGUGUAGCGGUGAAAUGCUUAGAUAUAACUUAGAACUCCGAUAGCGAAGGCAGCUUACCAGACUGCGACUGACGCUGAAGCACGAGAGCGUGGGUAGCGAACAGG
rnacentral:rRNA from 1 species